AAUCAACGCUGGCGGCGUGCCUAACACACGCAAGUCGAACGAGAAAGUGGAGCAAUCCAUGAGUAAAGUGGCGACCGGGUGAGUAACACGUGACUAACCUACCCUCGAGUGGGGAAUAACCUCGGGAAACCGAGGCUAAUACCGCAUAACAUCGCAAGAUCAAAGCAGAAAUGCGCUUGAGGAGGGGGUCGCGGCUGAUUAGCUAGUUGGUAGGGUAAUGGCCUACCAAGGCUUAGAUCGGUAGCCGGCCUGAGAGGGCGCACGGCCACACUGGAACUGAAACACGGUCCAGACUCCUACGGGAGGCAGCAGUGGGGAAUUUUGCGCAAUGGGGGAAACCCUGACGCAGCAACGCCGCGUGGAGGAUGAAGUCCCUUGGGACGUAAACUCCUUUCGACCGGAAGAUACUGACGGUACGGAAGAAGAAGCACCGGCUAACUCUGUGCCAGCCGCCGCGGUAAC
rnacentral:rRNA from 1 species